rnacentral:rRNA from 1 species
CGCGUGGAGGAUGAAGGUCUUCGGAUUGUAAACUCCUGUCAUGAGGGAGUAAGGCAUUUCGUUAACUGCGAGGAUGCUUGAUAGUACCUCAAGAGGAAUGGACGGCUAACUCUGUGCCAGCAGCCGCGGUAAUACAGAGGUCCCGAGCGUUGUUCGGAUUCAUUGGGCGUAAAGGGUGCGUAGGCUGCCAUGUAAGUCAGAUGUGAAAUUCCAAGGCUCAACCGUGGAACUGCAUUUGAUACUGCGUGGCUUGAGAGCUGGAGAGGAGACUGGAAUUCACGGUGUAGCAGUGAAAUGCGUAGAUAUCGUGAGGAAGGCCAGUGGCGAAGGCGAGUCUCUGGACAGCAACUGACGCUGAGGCACGAAGGCUAGGGGAGCAAACGGGAUUAGAUACCCCGNGUAGUCCUAGCAGUAAACGGUGCACGUUUGGUGUGGGAGGAAUCGAGCCCUUCCGUGCCGGAGCUAACGCGUUAAACGUGCCGCCUGGGGAGUACGGUCGCAAGAUUAAAACUCGAAGACAUUGACGGGGGCCCGCACAAGCGGUGGAGUAUGUGGCUUAGUUCGACGCAACGCGAAGAACCUUACCUGGGCUUGACAUGCAUCUCUAAGUCGGUGAAAGCCG